rnacentral:rRNA from 1 species
AUGCAAGUCGUACGGUAACAGGUAAGCAGCUUGCUGCUUUGCUGACGAGUGGCGGACGGGUGAGUAAUGUCUGGGAAACUGCCCGAUGGAGGGGGAUAACUACUGGAAACGGUAGCUAAUACCGCAUAAUGUCGCAAGACCAAAGAGGGGGACCUUCGGGCCUCUUGCCAUCGGAUGUGCCCAGAUGGGAUUAGCUUGUUGGUGAGGUAACGGCUCACCAAGGCGACGAUCCCUAGCUGGUCUGAGAGGAUGACCAGCCACACUGGAACUGAGACACGGUCCAGACUCCUACGGGAGGCAGCAGUGGGGAAUAUUGCACAAUGGGCGCAAGCCUGAUGCAGCCAUGCCGCGUGUAUGAAGAAGGCCUUCGGGUUGUAAAGUACUUUCAGCGGGGAGGAAGGUGUUAAGGUUAAUAACCUCAGCCAUUGACGUUACCCGCAGAAGAAGCACCGGCUAACUCCGUGCCAGCAGCCGCGGUAAUACGGAGGGUGCAAGCGUUAAUCGGAAUUACUGGGCGUAAAGCGCACGCAGGCGGUCUGUCAAGUCGGAUGUGAAAUCCCGGGGCUCAACCUGGGAACUGCAUUCGAAACUGGCAGGCUUGAGUCUCGUAGAGGGGGGUAGACUCCAGGUGUAGCGGUGAAAUGCGUAGAGAUCUGGAAGAAUACCGGUGGCGAAAGCGGCCCCCUGGACAAGACUGACGCUCAGGUGCGAAGCGUGGGGAGCAAACAGGAUAGAUACCCUGGUAGUCCCGCCGUAAACGAUGUCUAUUGGAGGUGUGCCCUUGAGGGUGGCUC